UUGCGGCAGCUACACAUGCAGUCGAGCGGAUGAGAGGAGCUUGCUCCUCGAUUCAGCGGCGGACGGGUGAGUAAUGCCUAGGAAUCUGCCUAGUAGUGGGGGACAACGUUUCGAAAGGAACGCUAAUACCGCAUACGUCCCACACCAGAAAGAGGGGAAUCUCCGGACCUCACGCUAGAAACGAGCCGAGGUCGGAUUAGCUAGUAGGUAGGGUAAAGGCCUACCAAGGCCACGAUCCGUAACUGGGCCGAGAGGAUGAUCAGUCACACUGGAACUGAGACACGGUCCAGACUCCUACACGAAGCAGCAGUGGGGAAUAUUGGACAACAGGCCAAAACCUGAUCCAGCCAUGCCCCGUGUGUGAAAAAGCCCUCGGGUCGUAAGCACUUAAGUGGGAAAAACGCUCAUAGCGAUACCUGUGAGUUUUGACGUUACCAAACAGAAAGAAACCACCGGCUAACUCCGGGCCAGCAGCCGGCGGUAAUACGAAGGGUGCAAAGCCGUAAUCGGAAUUACUGGGCGUAAAGCGCGCGGGUAGGUGGCUUGAUAAGUUGGAGAUGUGGAAAUCCCCGGGCUCAACCGGGAAACUGCAUCCAAAACUGUCUGGCUAGAGAGUGCGGUAGAGGGAAGUGGAAUUUCCAGUGUAUACGCGGGGAAAUGCGUAGAUAUUGGAAGAAACACAAAUGGCGAAAGCGACACUACCUGGACUGACACGAACACUAAAGUGCGAAAGCGGGGGAAACAAACAGAAAUAAAUACCCCGGGAGGCCACGCCGAAAACAAUGCCAACUAGCCGUGGGGACCCUUGAAAUCUUAAUGGCGCAGCUACCCUUUAUUUACCCACUAAAAUAACCCCAAGGGAACUACAGACGCAAAGGGAAAACACAAAGGAAGAGACGGGGGCCCGCACAAACGGAAAACCACGGGGCUUAACUCGAAACAACCCAAAGAACCGGACCCGGACACAAAAGGCCCAGAACCCCCCAGAGAGAGAUGGGUGACCCAAAACCCCCUCGUCUUUACCACAUCGGGAACUCAGACACACGGCCCCCAGGGCGGGCGUCAGCUCGUGUCAGGAGAUGUUGGGUUGGGAAGUCCCCCAACGACCCAAACAUUCCACCCCACCCGGAACAACAAGAACCGGAUGCCGGCCACCCCAAGGAGACUGACAGCGACAAACAGAAAAAAGCUGGGGAUGACGUCAAGUCAUCAUGGCCCUUACGGCCAGGGCUACACACGUGCUACAAUGGUCGGUACAAAGGGUUGCCAAGCCGCGAGGUGGAGCUAAUCCCAUAAAACCGAUCGUAGUCCGGAUCGCAGUCUGCAACUCGACUGCGUGAAGUCGGAAUCGCUAGUAAUCGUGAAUCAGAACGUCACGGUGAAUACGUUCCCGGGCCUUGUACACACCGCCCGUCACACCAUGGGAGUGGGUUGCUCCAGAAGUAGCUAGUCUAACCUUCGGAGGACGGUACCACGAGAUCUG
rnacentral:rRNA from 1 species